UACGUAGGGUGCGAGCGUUAAUCGGAAUUACUGGGCGUAAAGCGUGCGCAGGCGGUUUUGUAAGCCAGAUGUGAAAUCCCCGGGCUAACCUGGGAACUGCAUUUGUGACUGCACGGCUAGAGUACGGUAGAGGGGGAUGGAAUUCCGCGUGUAGCAGUGAAAUGCGUAGAUAUGCGGAGGAACACCGAUGGCGAAGGCAGUCCCCUGGACCUGUACUGACGCUCAUGCACGAAAGCGUGGGGAGCAAACAGGG
rnacentral:rRNA from 1 species